rnacentral:rRNA from 2 species
UUCCGGUUGAUCCUGCCAGACCUGACUGCUAUCGGAUUGAUACUAAGCCAUGCGAGUCAUUGUAGCAAUACAAGGCAGACGGCUCAGUAACGCGUAGUCAACCUAACCUAUGGACGGGAAUAACCUCGGGAAACUGAGAAUAAUUCCCGAUAGAACACUAUACCUGGAAUGGUUUGUGUUCCAAAUGAUUUAUCGCCGUAGGAUGGGACUGCGGCCUAUCAGUUUGUUGGUGAGGUAAUGGCCCACCAAGACUAUUACAGGUACGGGCUCUGAGAGGAGUAGCCCGGAGAUGGGUACUGAGACACGGACCCAGGCCCUAUGGGGCGCAGCAGGCGAGAAAACUUUGCAAUGUGCGAAAGCACGACAAGGUUAAUCCGAGUGGUUUCUGCUAAAGGAACCUUUUGUUAGUCCUAGAAACACUAACGAAUAAGGGGUGGGCAAGUUCUGGUGUCAGCCGCCGCGGUAAAACCAGCACCUCAAGUGGUCAGGAUGAUUAUUGGGCCUAAAGCAUCCGUAGCCGGCUCUGUAAGUUUUCGGUUAAAUCUGUACGCUCAACGUACAGGCUGCCGGGAAUACUGCAGAGCUAGGGAGUGGGAGAGGUAGACGGUACUCGGUAGGAAGGGGUAAAAUCCUUUGAUCUAUUGAUGACCACCUGUGGCGAAGGCGGUCUACCAGAACACGUCCGACGAUGAGGGAUGAAAGCUGGGGGAGCAAACCGGAUUAGAUACCCGGGUAGUCCCAGCUGUAAACUAUGCAAACUCAGUGAUGCAUUGGCUUGUGGCCAAUGCAGUGCUGCAGGGAAGCCGUUAAGUUUGCCGCCUGGGAAGUACGUACGCAAGUAUGAAACUUAAAGGAAUUGGCGGGGGAGCACCACAAGGGGUGAAGCCUGCGGUUCAAUUGGAGUCAACGCCGGG